AUUGAACGCUGGCGGCAUGCUUUACACAUGCAAGUCGAACGGCAGCGCGGGCUUCGGCCUGGCGGCGAGUGGCGAACGGGUGAGUAAUGCAUCGGAACGUGCCCAGUAGUGGGGGAUAGCCCGGCGAAAGCCGGAUUAAUACCGCAUACGACCUGAGGGUGAAAGCGGGGGGCCGAAAGGCCUCGCGCUAUUUGAGCGGCCGAUGUCGGAUUAGCUAGUUGGUGGGGUAAAGGCUUACCAAGGCGACGAUCCGUAGCUGGUCUGAGAGGACGACCAGCCACACUGGGACUGAGACACGGCCCAGACUCCUACGGGAGGCAGCAGUGGGGAAUUUUGGACAAUGGGGGCAACCCUGAUCCAGCCAUGCCGCGUGCGGGAAGAAGGCCUUCGGGUUGUAAACCGCUUUUGUUCGGGAAGAAAUCCUCUGGGCUAAUACCCCGGGGGGAUGACGGUACCGGAAGAAUAAGCACCGGCUAACUACGUG
rnacentral:rRNA from 1 species